rnacentral:ncRNA from 2 species
AUCUUAUCAAGAGAAGCGGAGGGAACGGCCCUAGGAAGCUUCAGCAACCCUUUAUGUAAUAAGAAGGUGCUAAAUCCGAUGUAGAUAAGAG